GCCCAGGUGGCGAAAUUGGCAGACGUACACGCUUCAGGUGCGUGCGACCGCAAGGUCAUGCGGGUUCAAAUCCCGCCCUGGGCA
rnacentral:tRNA from 1 species